CUACGGGUGGCAGCAGUGGGGAAUAUUGGACAAUGGGCGAAAGCCUGAUCCAGCCAUGCCGCGUGUGUGAAGAAGGCCUUCGGGUUGUAAAGCACUUUCAGUGGGGAAGAAAGCCUUGGGGCUAAUACCCUCGAGGAAGGACAUCACCCACAGAAGAAGCACCGGCUAACUCCGUGCCAGCAGCCGCGGUAAUACGGAGGGUGCGAGCGUUAAUCGGAAUUACUGGGCGUAAAGCGCGCGUAGGCGGUCUGAUAAGCCGGUUGUGAAAGCCCCGGGCUCAACCUGGGAACGGCAUCCGGAACUGUCAGGCUAGAGUGCAGGAGAGGAAGGUAGAAUUCCCGGUGUAGCGGUGAAAUGCGUAGAGAUCGGGAGGAAUACCAGUGGCGAAGGCGGCCUUCUGGACUGAAACUGACGCUGAGGUGCGAAAGCGUGGGUAGCAAACAGGAUUAGAUACCCCGGUAGUC
rnacentral:rRNA from 1 species